CGGGAAGAGCUCAAAUUUUAAAUCUGGCUGUCUCAGGCAGUCCGAGUUGUAAAUUAUAGAAGCGUUUUCUGUGCCGGACCUGUCAUAAGUUAUCUUGAAUGGUAUAUCAGAGAGGGUGAGAAUCCCGUGCUUUGGCAGGCCACCGGGGCUUUAUGAUGCGCUCUCAAC
rnacentral:rRNA from 1 species